AGUUUCCUGCAACGCUAAACUGCUCAUAUUCACAGUGUAGAAAUGUAGCUAGAGGACACAUUGCUGAGGUAUAUGCUGCUGGUUAAAAUAACCUCAAAAACAUCCAGAAGAUGGAGGAGUUUCCGGUGGCCAUGUUGGCAGCUCACUACUAUUUUCUCCUCAGAUGUUGAAAUGCUGCUUCACUUCAUGAAGAUGUUACCGCACUCGCAGUACCAGCCAGGAACAUGCUGGCACGCUGACACGCUGACCUGAUCUGGCCUGAGAAAGUAUUAAAAAUGACUGCUGAUGGGCUGCUCUGCGUUAUAUCGGAGGAGCUGGCUGCAAGCUUGGCAAAGAGAAAUACCACACACAAAUUGUAAAAUCAUUAAAGCUCCAUUACUUAACUAUAAACAAUUUGCACAAGCAGAGCAGACCAACAAACAAAGCGUCCAAUCCUGACAUCUGCUGGAGAAAAGUCACAUUACAACCACUGACUUCUGAUGUGCUGUUAGGUGAUGGUUGUUAUUUACAUGUUUGAUUUGUUGCUCCCAUAUGUGUGUGAAUAAUUUCAUUAGGGAUGGAUUAUGUAAAUGACCGGACACAGAAAUAAACUAGAAAUGUGUUCACAUGCAUUCACACUGCAUUAGUAUGUAGUCACAUAUCACUGAAAAAUGGAAAUAAAAAUGGUUCUGCUUGCAUCUACAAUGUUAGUCAAUAUUCAUUAGAUUUUAGUCCACCCAACAUAGCUGAAACAAGUGCAAAAUUAUUGACUAACUUAAAUUGUUUUCAAAUGUACA